AAACCUUAGGUAUUUAUACCUAAUUUUGUAUGGAUGGCCCCUUUUCUUUUCCCUUGUUUUCUUUGUUGCCGCCCUUACCCUUUAUUUUCUCUAUUUCUUUUGUUAGUCUUUUCUCUUACCUUAGCCCCAUCCCCCUUCUCUCAUUUCCCUCUUCCUUCCGCUGUACCCCUCUCAUCUUCUAUUUUAUUUUUCUUUCUUUUCUCUAUAAGUUUCGUCAUUCCCUCCUCCACCAUUGGCUCACCGUCUUCCCCUUCUUCCCUUUUCCUUUUAUUUUCUUCCUUUGUUUUACAUAGCCAUCGCAUCUUGUCCCUUUAACCUCCGAUCCCCUUUAUUUUUCUCUUGCUUCCAUCACAACUAUCACCUAUGUGGAUUUCUAUUUUCCUCCCUUUUCACAUCUCACCGCCGCACCUUCCAUUGCUUCUUGCUGCCAAUUUCCUCCUUAUUCACCCUAGUUAUCAUUGUCCCUUCCUCCACCACCAAGGACCUAUUUCAUUUUCUAUCUUGUUAGACUCCUUUGUUCAUUUGAAACACUAUUGGUGUUAGAUCUAUAUCCUUUUAUAGCAAAUCGGUAAGUUAUAAGUUUGUAUGGAUUAAACACCAAUUCUGGGAAAAUUAACUGAGUUGUGGUUAAUCAUUUCUUUUUGGUUUAAUCGAUUACAUUUAGAUCUACCAGAAGCAUUUGUCAAUUGAUUUUAAUAUUGCAUAAUUUCAUGUCUAUGGUGUCUAAAGGGCCAAAUAUGGGAGAGUUGGAUCAAAUUUGACCGAAAGGUAUACCACACGGUUUGCAUAAUAGUUUCGGUUUUGCUAAGCAAUCCUAGAUCUGAUUUGAAAAUAGACUAUCUUGUGGUAUUGAAAUAUCGACGAUUCAAUUCAGUGGGUAACGAAAUCGUGUAUAGUAGAUCUGAUUAUAGUAUGCUAUUAUUUUUCUGAUUUGAUUAUGUUGAUUAUGUGGUGACAAAUUCCCUAUGUUGGUUCUGUAAUUAUUAUCGAUGCAUGCCUAUUACUACAGUUAAAAUUAUAAACGGCUACUGUUUGCAUGAAAAGUUGCAUUCAAUACUGCUAUCGUUACUAUUUUCUGAUUUAUAAAAGCAUUCAUUCUAUUGCAUUGGGAUUGCGAUAUUGAAGGUGGAAGUAUAAGCUUUAAAUGUCGGAUCAGUUCACCGAUCAAAUAUAUUGUUAUACUAUCAUGCGUAAAAUAUUAUUUUGGUGUGUAAGGAUGGAUGAGUUCUAGGGAACUUUUACUGUGCAAUGUAACGGAUAAAUGGGGUAGGAAAUUGUACCGUUAACCAUACAUACUGAAUAUUUACUGAAUAUUUACUGUGGGACUGAUAAUCUGUUAUGCCUUGUUUCCUUCUAGUUUGUAUGCUAUAUUUACUAUUUAUGUACUUAUUUGUUUUUGUGUUAAGGCUACACUGAGCUUCAUAGCUCAUUCUUUAGUUUCACAUCUUACCAGAUAACUCGUGAGGUUAAGGUUCGGACAUGACUUUUAGAGCACUGUCAUCAGACUUUUAUAAAAAUAUUUUAAACUCUAUUUUACAAAUUUUGUUGAUUAUUUUGCUUGUUACAAACGGACUAUGGUAUGAACUUUAUUAUUUAACGAGGGUGUUAAUUUUGGGAUUUAAUUUUAUAGGCUAUUGACAAUAAACUCGAUUACGGUUAAGGUUUUCAAGAUAUUAUUUUAAAUUAUUUUUAAAUAGUACAAGUAUGAACUUUCCUAUUGAUUUUGUAACUAAAAUUAAGUAAAUGAGAUAAUUAAAAUAAACUAAUAUUUUCUUAAAAAAUUAGAUUUUAACUAUGAUUUUGAAACUGAAACAUAAUUGUUUUCUAAAAGUGAAUCUCACCAGUUGUAUAAGGAGAUUACUUAUAUAUACACACCAAAAUCGUAUAAAAAAGUUUUGUUCAAAACUUUCAAAGUUUGAUAGAAUACCCAAAUCAUAUCGGUACUUUAUUGAGUUUCAAUGCCUUUUUGUAAAUAAGAGAUGAUUUCUUCUAAGAAAUUUGAGG
rnacentral:lncRNA from 1 species